rnacentral:sRNA from 1 species
UUAUAUAAUAAAUGAGCUGAGCAUAGCUCCCUUUUUCUCCGCGCUCAUCAUGAAUUGAGCUAAGGUGAGCGAACAGGCUCAUUUUGACACCCCUAACCACAAUAUGAUUAUUGUUUCAAUAU